UGAAUAGCUCAGUUGGUUAGAGCUUGGUGCAGAUAAUGCCAAGGUUGCAGGUUUAAUCCUUGUAUGGGACAA